rnacentral:rRNA from 1 species
AUACGUAGGGGGCGAGCGUUGUCCGGAAUGAUUGGGCGUAAAGGGCGCGUAGGCGGCCCGGUAAGUCUGGAGUGAAAGUCCUGUUUUUAAGAUGGGAAUUGCUUUGGAUACUGUCGGGCUUGAGUGCAGGAGAGGUAAGUGGAAUUCCCAGUGUAGCGGUGAAAUGCGUAGAGAUUGGGAGGAACACCAGUGACGAAGGCGACUUACUGGACUGUAACUGACGCUGAGGCGCGAAAGUGUGGGGAGCAAACAGGAUGAGAUACCCUGGGAGUCCACACUGUAAACGAUGAAUGCUAGGUGUAGGGGGUAUCGACCCCUUCUGUGCCGCAGUCAACACAAUAAGGAUUCCGCCUGGGGAGUACGGCCGCAAGGUUGAAACUGAAAGGAAUUGACGGGG